GUGUAAUGAUGAAUUUUAUGGAUUCCCAAGUAAUAUCUAAAUUACAAAAAUCUCCUUGAGAAUAGAUCGAACAUACAAGUAGUCCAUUAAUGUUAACAGGAAUCUCAUUACCAUGUCAUUAUAGAUUUUGAAAUGACAAAAAUAGCCUCGAACAAAGGGUUAAAAAAAAUUCUUCUAACUUCGUCUCCUCGACAUCCUCGGCCCUUUCCGCCAC
rnacentral:lncRNA from 1 species